ensembl:lncRNA CT69 cancer/testis associated transcript 69
AACCAUGGGACCACUGGUGUGAGUCUUUCCACCUUUCUAAGGUUCACUCCCUCAUUAGCAUCUCAUCCUAAGGACACCUUCUACCUCCUUGUCCUCUAAGCAAUGCUUUUCAAACCCUACAGACCAGUGCCUGCAUCAGAAUAAUGAGGAAGGGCUUUUGGAAUACUAUGCAGCCAUGUCCCUCUGCAGGGACAUGGAUGAAGCUGGAAACCGUCAUUCUCAGCAAACUAACAUAAGAACAGAAAACCAAACACCACAUGUCCUCACUCAUAAGUGGGAGUUGAACAAUGAGAAUACAUGGACACGGGCAGUGACCUGAGAAGCUACGUAUUGACACGGCGCUACCACGGGUGGAGGAGCCUGCAUUGCUGAAUCACAGGAUGAAGGCGAAUCCCUGCCAGCCUCCAUCCAUCUCUGGGGUGCUUAGCAGAAUCCUCAGCUCACAAGAUGAAUAAAUGCAGACUAAAUGAUGCACAAAUAAUCUUCACACACAACCAUCAACACAUGGAAAGACUGCAGGACGGCCAGAUCCCAAGCUAACAAACAGGGGAAGAUGAUGUUUCAAAUGAUCAUCUGAAUGCUGGGUUUCCACCUUCCACCAGGAAGUCAUAUGGUCAAAUUAUCCCGGAUCCUGAAAUAUAUCUUUUGAUAGAAAUGACUCUGGUACUUUCCGCAACUUACUUUCUAUGGAGCACUUUCCUGAAACAAGAUUUGUGUUUAAAUAUUCCUCCUUCUACAAAGUAUUAAACAGUAGUAAGUUCUGCAACGUUGACAAUGGAAACCUGGCAAUGUGCCCUUGUUUGACUAUUAAGGAAUUGCUUCCAAGUACCACAGGGCCUUGAAGACCAAAAUAACACAAUUACCUGGAAGGUGAACAAUGGCAACUUAUCAGGCUAAUAUUUAUGCUAACAAUUGUCACAACCAUAAUGGAGGAAAAAAAUAUUUUAAGGACAAGAAUGUCACUUGAGAAUAAGUGAACACCCCCUGUGACCUGGCAUUUCUUGGAAGAAAGGAAGGUGCUGUGACAUGCCCCUGUCAUUCUGAGGUCCUCUGGAAAGGGCUGUCGUUCACAGUUGCCUGGGCAAGGCUGAGCAGGACGCACGUUUGGUGACUCAAAACAUGCCGUUAAGAGUAACUAGGGUGGAACGAUGCAUAGCCACCAUUUCAAUUAUGUUGGGCUAUCAAAACUUUCUUAGGCAAAAGAUUAAACAUGUUUUUCACCAA